rnacentral:rRNA from 1 species
GAUGAACGCUAGCGGGAGGCCUAAUACAUGCAAGUCGAACGGUAAGGUCCUUCGGAUACACGAGUGGCGGACGGGUGCGUAACGCGUACGGAAUAUACCUUCAACAGGGAGAUACCUCCGGGAAACUGGAAUUAAUACCCAUAGUAUUAUAGAUUCGCAUGAAUUUAUGAUUAAAGCUCAGGCGGUUGAAGAUUAUCGUGCGUCUGAUUAGGUAGUUGGUAGGGUAAUGGCCUACCAAGCCAACGAUCAGUAGCUGGUCUGAGAGGAUGAUCAGCCACACGGGCACUGAGACACGGGCCCGACUCCUACGGGAGGCAGCAGUAGGGAAUAUUGGACAAUGGGCGCAAGCCUGAUCCAGCCAUCCCGCGUGAAGGAUUAAGGCCCUCUGGGUUGUAAACUUCUUUUCUUUGGGAAUAAAAACUCCGUUUCUACGGAGCUUGAAGGUACCAGAGGAAUAAGCACCGGCUAACUCCGUGCCAGCAGCCGCGG